GAGUGAGCAAGAGAGAGAGAGAUAACCUAACAGAAGAGAGAAAGAGAGUUUCCGCUGGCUUCGGCUAAAGCUGCAGACUCAAAACCAUAUGCUUGUCAUAGCGCUGUGUGUGUGCGUCUGUGUGUGUGUGUGUGUGUGCUAGGUGGGCAGGGCUUAGCUGGAGGAAAACUGCUCAGACUGGGAUCCUGCUGCUCAGACAGCAGGAUCCCCGGGACAAACGGAGAGCAGAUAGACAGAGUGAGGAUGACAGGUACAGACGGAGACAGAGGAAGACGGGCAGAGACACGGUCGAGAAGGAGACAGGAGGAGAUAAUGAGGAAGCGGAGGAAUGAAAGGCUUGCUCGAAGAGACUGUCAUCCAACUCUGCAGUUCCCCUCAGCUCUAUGGAGCUUUAUUAAAGACGUACCGCCACAGUCCUGUCAGAUGAACUCAACACCACCAAUGAUGUUCUAAACGUGUUCAUUGAUUUUAAACUGGA